GGGCCCGUAGCUCAGCCUGGUUAGAGCGACAGGCUCAUAACCUGUUGGUCGGGCGUUCAAAUCGCCCCGGGCCCACCA
rnacentral:tRNA from 1 species